rnacentral:lncRNA from 1 species
CACCUUUCCAGAGGCAUAACAAACUGGUGCAUUGGGAAACAGAGAAACAUCAAUAACGUCGAGUACAUUUUUCACUUCUGUACUGAAGGUACCACCUCUUAUUCAUCCAACUUCGGACUGCCAGAAAUGUGUUUGCAUCUUCUUUCCUCUCCCUAUCCAAAUACACCCAAUCACCAAGCAGCAGCUGCCACACCAUUCCCACCCCACCAGUGUCACUGUCACAGAAGCUGGAGAGUCUUAAUAGAUGAUUCAAUCCAGCCCCGAAUGUUGAAGAUGAGGAAACUGAAGGAAACUAACCAUUUCACUGACUUACUUC